GACGAACGCUGGCGGCGUGCUUAACACAUGCAAGUCGAACGGUGAAGGGACCGGUUUUUGCUGGUUCUGGAUGAGUGGCGAACGGGUGAGUAACACGUGAGUAACCUGCCCCCUUCUUCUGGAUAACCGCAUGAAAGUGUGGCUAAUACGGGAUAUUCUGCGCCUGCUGCAUGGUGGGUGUGGGAAAGAUAUUGUUUCGGUGGGGGAUGGGCUCGCGGCCUAUCAGCUUGUUGGUGGGGUGAUGGCCUACCAAGGCGGUGACGGGUAGCCGGCCUGAGAGGGUUGACGGUCACAACGGGACUGAGACACUGUACAGACUGCUACGGGAGGCAGCAGUGGUGAAUAUUGCACAAUGGGCGCAAGUCUGAUGCAGCGACGCCGCGUGAGGGAUGGAGGCCUUCGGGUUGUAAACCUCUUUCGCCAGUGAAGCAGGCCUGUCCCUUUUGUGGGUGGGUUGACGGUAGCUGGAUAAGAAGCGCCGGCUAACUACGUG
rnacentral:rRNA from 1 species